rnacentral:rRNA from 1 species
UCGGGAAUUUUGGGCAAUGGGCGAAAGCCUGACCCAGCAACGCCGCGUGAGGGAUGAAGUAUUUCGGUACGUAAACCUCGAAAGAAUGGGAAGAAUAAAUGACGGUACCAUUUAUAAGCUCCGGCUAACUACGUGCCAGCAGCCGCGGUAAUACGUAGGGAGCAAGCGUUGUUCGGAUUUACUGGGCGUAAAGGGCGCGUAGGCGGCGCGGUAAGUCACUUGUGAAAUCUCUGAGCUUAACUCAGAACGGCCAAGUGAUACUGCUGUGCUAGAGUGCGGAAGAGGCAACCGGAAUUCUUGGUGUAGCGGUGAAAUGCGUAGAUAUCAAGAGGAACACCUGAGGCGAAGGCGGGUUGCUGGGCCGACACUGACGCUGAUGCGCGAAAGCCAGGGGAGCAAACG